rnacentral:rRNA from 1 species
AUAGAACGCUGGCGGCAUGCUUUACACAUGCAAGUCGAACGGUAACAGGCCGCAAGGUGCUGACGAGUGGCGAACGGGUGAGUAAUGCAUCGGAACGUGCCCAGUCGUGGGGGAUAACGCAGCGAAAGCUGCGCUAAUACUGCAUAAGAUCUAUGGAUGAAAGCGGGGGACCGUAAGGCCUCGUGCGAUUGGAGCGGCCGAUGUCAGAUUAGGUAGUUGGUGGGGUAAAGGCUCACCAAGCCAACGAUCUGUAGCUGGUCUGAGAGGACGACCAGCCGCACUGGGACUGAGACACGGCCCAGACUCCUACGGGAGGCAGCAGUGGGGAAUUUUGGACAAUGGGCGCAAGCCUGAUCCAGCAAUGCCGCGUGCAGGAAGAAGGCCUUCGGGUUGUAAACUGCUUUUGUACGGAACGAAAAGGCUCUGGAUAAUACCUGGGGCUCAUGACGGUACCGUAAGAAUAAGCACCGGCUAACUACGUGCCAGCCGCCGCGGUAACAC